rnacentral:rRNA from 1 species
AACGUAGGUACCGAGCGUUAUCCGGAUUUACUGGGCGUAAAGCGCGUUCAGGCGGCGUGGCAAGUCGGGCAUGAAAUCUCUCGGCUCAACCGGGAGGGGUUGUCCGAUACUGCUGGGCUUGAGGGCAGGAGAGGGUGGUGGAAUUCCGGGUGUAGUGGUGAAAUGCGUAGAGAUCCGGAGGAACACCAGUGGCGAAGGCGGCCACCUGGCCUGUACCUGACGCUGAAACGCGAAAGCUAGGGGAGCGAACGGGAUUAGAAACCCCCGUAGUCC